ACCACUGGUCUACAUUCUACCCAGUGUUCUACAUUCUUGUAUCUAAGCUGUUUACACCAAAUGCAGAAUACAGGAACAAAGAACCUCUGGUGA